rnacentral:rRNA from 1 species
GACGAACGCUGGCGGCGUGCUUAACACAUGCAAGUCGAGCGGUAAGGCCCCUUCGGGGGUACACGAGCGGCGAACGGGUGAGUAACACGUGGGUGACCUGCCCUCAGCUCUGGGAUAAGCCUGGGAAACUGGGUCUAAUACCGGAUAUGACUCCAUGACGCAUGUCGUGGGGUGGAAAGCCUUGUGCGGCUGGGGAUGGGCCCGCGGCCUAUCAGCUUGUUGGCGGGGUGAUGGCCUACCAAGGCGACGACGGGUAGCCGGCCUGAGAGGGCGACCGGCCACACUGGGACUGAGACACGGCCCAGACUCCUACGGGAGGCAGCAGCGGGGAAUCUUGCGCAAUGGGCGAAAGCCUGACGCAGCGACGCCGCGUGA